rnacentral:rRNA from 1 species
UGGGGAAUAUUGCACAAUGGGCGCAAGCCUGAUGCAGCCAUGCCGCGUGUAUGAAGAAGGCCUUCGGGUUGUAAAGUACUUUCAGCGGGGAGGAAGGUGUUGAGGUUAAUAACCUCAGCAAUUGACGUUACCCGCAGAAGAAGCACCGGCUAACUCCGUGCCAGCAGCCGCGGUAAUACGGAGGGUGCAAGCGUUAAUCGGAAUUACUGGGCGUAAAGCGCACGCAGGCGGUCUGUCAAGUCGGAUGUGAAAUCCCCGGGCUCAACCUGGGAACUGCAUUCGAAACUGGCAGGCUAGAGUCUUGUAGAGGGGGGUAGAAUUCCAGGUGUAGCGGCGAAAUGCGUAGAGAUCUGGAGGAAUACCGGUGGCGAAGGCGGCCCCCUGGACAAAGACUGACGCUCAGGUGCGAAAGCGUGGGGAGCAAACA